CGGCUUCGGCUGUCACUUAUGGAUGGACCCGCGUCGCAUUAGCUAGUUGGUGAGGUAACGGCUCACCAAGGCAACGAUGCGUAGCCGACCUGAGAGGGUGAUCGGCCACACUGGGACUGAGACACGGCCCAGACUCCUACGGGAGGCAGCAGUAGGGAAUCUUCCGCAAUGGACGAAAGUCUGACGGAGCAACGCCGCGUGAGUGAUGAAGGCUUUCGGGUCGUAAAACUCUGUUGUUAGGGAAGAACAAGUGCUAGUUGAAUAAGCUGGCACCUUGACGGUACCUAACCAGAAAGCCACGGCUAACUACGUGCCAGCAGCCGCGGUAAUACGUAGGUGGCAAGCGUUAUCCGGAAUUAUUGGGCGUAAAGCGCGCGCAGGUGGUUUCUUAAGUCUGAUGUGAAAGC
rnacentral:rRNA from 1 species